rnacentral:tRNA from 1 species
GCUGUGGUGGCGGAGUGGUUAACGCGCCAGACUUGAAAUCUGGUACCUUCGGGUGCGCAAGUUCGAAUCUUGUCCGCAGCG